UCUAAGCCUCAAAAACAAUGAAACAAACAAACAAGGGGGAAAAAAAGCAAGCACUGUUCAGAUUUAUCAGUGGCUAGGCUGAAUAUAAGGAAAUGAUUAAGAAAUAGCUGGCAAUGGUUACGUCCUGACUAAAAUCUGGAGUAAAGAUUAAGAGUGCAAGAGUCUCACUCUCUGAAAGCUUUUGGGUGCUGCAUAAGUCACAUCUACUAUAUCGAAUGGACACAGCUCAAUUCCUAGACUGUAAGAUCCAAAAGUCUUGUUGGGAUAAUUUAGUUUGCUUUCUGCACACCUGUGGUCAGAAAUUUUCUCCAGAGAAGCACAGAAUUACAGGAAGAAGUGGAUUUGCAACAGAGAGUGGUUGUGGCUGUAGAAGGUGUUGAGAGCUGUUGUAAGCACUCCCAAAGUUUAACCAGGAUGAACCACCUCAGUGUCACAGUUUCUUUUCACAGGACAAGUGCUCCAGACCCCUGAGCAUCCUGCAGACCCUCUGCUGAACUCACACCAAAAAUGAUGCAGUACUCUGGAUACAAUCUAUUGAGUACUGAGAUGAGGGGAAUAAUCAUGUCCAUCAACCUACUGGCUGUACUUCUGUUCAUAUAGCCUAGGAUGUUUUUGGCCCUUCUGCUGGCAGGGCUCAGCUCACUGACCAUCAGGACCCUGAGAACCUUUUCUGCAGGGCUUCUUCCUAGUCAGUGUCCACCCAGCCUGGAUUGCUGUGAGAGCUGAGUAUGUUUGUACAUAAUCAGUUAUCCUCUUGUGCCUUUAAGAUGGCAGUCUGUGGCAAGACUUAUUCUUUUCUACCUUUUUUAUUUUUUUUCCUAGAAUAGCUAAUCUUAGAUUUGGCCUAUUUGUUUUUGAUUUUUUUUGCCUAUUGACUGACUU